CCGGGGCGGGGCCUCGCGGGAACUCCAUGACGCCAGGGGGCGGGCGGCGGUGGGGAAUCCCCGGCUUGUCCCAAGAGGGCUUUGGCGGGGAGGACCGAAGGCCGACGCCGGGAGGAGCCGUCUCCGGGAGGAGCCGCCUCCGGGUCUGAACCGCCGGGGCCCCGUCCGAAAUGUUCACCUUAGUGGGGGCUCCUGUGGCUGCAAGGGUCAUAAGCAGGAGCGAGGUCGGAGCCUCCGGGACGGCUUCCCCCACGCGGGUAGAGCGCUCCGGAGGCGGGGCCCUCAAGGCCCGGGUCUCUUAACCCCGUCGCGCCCGGGCAGAGUCCGAGAGCCGCUGAUGCUCCCCACGCCGCCGCGCUCCUGGCCGCGCGCCCAGCCAGGGACCCAGAGGCCCUCAGCCCCGGGCUCUGCGCGUACACUGAGCAGGACGGCAAGAUAAGGAAGCAGAGACUGAAGGGAGGAAUCCCCGCUUUCCGGGGAUGAUGGCGUUCGAGUUGGGUCUGUGAGGGAUGAAAUAGGAGUUGGCCAGAGGGAGAGAGAGGGACUCUAGGCCUCGAGAAGAGCACGUGCAGAGGUUCCGUGACACGAAAACGCCAGAGUCUUGCUCUGUCGCCCAGGCUGGCUGGAGUGCUGUGACACGAUCUCAGCUCACUGCAACCUCUGCCUCCCAGGUUCAAGCGAUUCUCCUGCCUCAGCCUCCCGAGAAGCUGGGAUUACAGAGAAAGGUUUUUGCCAUGUUGUCCAGAUCGGUCUCAAAUUCCUGAACUCAAGCAAUUCACCCAU